rnacentral:rRNA from 1 species
UACAGGGGGUGCAAACGUUGCUCGGAAUCAUUGGGCGUAAAGCGCACGUAGGCGGUUCGUUAUGUCGGAUGUGAAAGCCCUUGGCUUAACCGAGGAAGUGCAUUCGAAACUGCAGAGCUGGAGUCCUGGAGAGGAAGGCGGAAUUCUCGGUGUAGAGGUGAAAUUCGUAGAUAUCGAGAGGAACACCGGUGGCGAAGGCGGCCUUCUGGACAGUGACUGACGCUGAGACGCGAAAGCGUGGGGAGCAAACAGG